GCUGUCAGUACUUUGUGGUUCAGCUGGUCAGCUUUGCCACACAUGGACAACUAGGGCACUUCACAUCUAAUCUGUCAGCAUCAGGUCAGUGAUGGCUGACAUUCAAACAGUGGCCCUGUGAGUCAACACCCAUUUAAUGGAUUGCAAUGAGCUGAUUCAGAGCAGGUUAUUUUAGAAGAAAAAUUACAGCACAAGCACUUGUUUACAAGACUCAAAUGGAAAAAGGUGUCUCAAAGCUCUUUGCUAUAAGGAGAAAAGGAAUCCAAAGGAAAGCAAUAUAUAAAACAAAAGGAAACUAUGAUCCACUACUGAAGGAUAAACAGGAAGUUUUUAGGAAGAUUUUCAGCUGGAGAACUUGUUUGACCGUUCUGGAGCAGCAGUUCCCUUUCAGGUGGUGUGCAUGAUAUCGUGUGCCGUACGAUUGCUAUCCCACAACCCCAUCCUUUACCGUCGAAGCAGUGGGGGAAGGACUGGCAGCUAAUUGUGCUACUGGGAUCUGUUAUCGUUCUUUGCAAACAUUUACCUGGCAACACCCUCCCGGUGCCAUUGACUCAUUCUACUAUACCUGCUUCCUGAGGGUGGUAGGUGCAAUGGAACUGUUGUUCGAUAUGCAGUGCCUCGCACAACUCAUUUAUUCUCCCUAUGAAGUGGGGACCAUUGUCUGAACUUAUCUGUCGGGGUACCCCAAACCUUGGAACUCAAGAUUCUCAGUGCCAUCCUAAAUGUUUCUUCACCACUGCAGGAGUUCCUCAGGGUAGUGUCCUAGGGCCAACUGUCUUCAGCAGGUUCAUCAAUAACCUUCCUUCAGUCGCAAGAUUAUAUGGACAACGAUGAUGAUGAUUUCUAGAACAACUCGGCAACACCAUCACAUGCACAGCUGACUGAAAAACUAAACCUCGUCAAAGCAAAGGAAUCGCCAACUCAGAAUGCUUUGUGAGCUUUACUCCAACAAAAAAAAAGGUCAUUUAUUAGGUUUGCAACAAUGUGAAUUCAUGAUGAUUGGUAUUGAGUCCUCACUGAACGUUUUAACCAGAAUCUGCUUGUGUGUGGAAUAAAUUGCAGUUCUUGCUAGAUUUUUUUGUCAGUUUUGUUUUGGAGUGAGGACUGUAAUUUCUUUCUCUUUUUGCUGUCAGGAGAUAAACAAUGUUUUGUGUUUCUUCAAAUUGUGUGAGCGCCAAAUGCAUUCACAGCAAAGCUGUUUCUAGUGUCUGUGUUAAAUGGGCAGCUGGAAAAAAUCACAUGGAACUGGGUCAUUAGCGAUGUCAGAAUGAUCACGCUGUUCAGAAAGAGAGGCACAGUCACAAUAGAACAUUUCAACCUGAAAUCCCAGGAUUGCCUAAACUUUG